UAAUGAUGAUGAUGAUGAUGAUGAUGAUGAUGAUGAUGACAACGGCACAUAUUCAAUAUCCCCCCCCUCCCCCCCUCCUUAUCAUCAUCAUCAUCAUCGUUGUGC
rnacentral:miRNA from 1 species